CACGCUCCUCUCCCUGGCUGGACACGGCCCCAGACGCUGCCAGGGCUGCCCCAAGGAGCUCGCGCUCCCCAGAACUGACUAACAGCUGCGAUGGGUUAGCUCGAGUGCAGUGUUCUCCACAAUUCGGUCUGUAUUUCUAACGAAACAGCCGCGCUGCUACAAAUGAACACGCCAAAGAAGGGUUUUCAACACUUUUAUUGAAGCACUUCAAAAUGUUCACAAUGAUAGACGUUGCCUUUAACAGAAUAAAACCUGUAAUGUCUUAAUUGAAAGGCACUAAUCCUGGCACAAAGGUCUACUUACCCACCUUCCACUGUGAUGGAGACAAAAACACCAAACUUUCACUUCUCCUUUAAAAGAGUACGAGUACACCCCCUCCGAGUGCCAUUCUGCGUUUAAGUGACAUGUGAAAGAAGUCCCUGAUGUUUCACCAGGGCGUACUUUGACUUUCAGCAUGCGUAGUAGUUCUAAAGCAACAGACAGGUUUUAGCAGGUUUAUGAUUUCAUGAGAAAAGUCAUUCUGAACUCACAUUUUUGGAACAAAAGUCCCGAAGCAUUUACCAGCCUUAAAUAUUCACACAUCGCUUCUCCUUUAACAUGAUUUACUGGUUUGCCGUUCACAUACUUGGCAGCACACCACUCUUAGCAAGGUAGCUUAAAUAAUCUGAUUUAUACCCCCUGUCGAGUACUCAUACAGCUCGCUCUAGCGUAUGGGUCAGUGCAAGAACAAGGCAGCAGGGAGCAGAGCUGAGGCAUGCUACCCGGGAAGAAGAGCAUUUCUUUAACAUUCAUUAAACACACACCAAGCAAAUCGUGACAUGCCAGUACACCCAUUGCACAGUCAGAGUAACUAUAAAAUUAAACGUUAGAAAAGUUAAAAAUUUGAUAAUCUAGCUAAGACAUACUUCUCUUAUUGUAGACCCUUGCAUGACGCUCGUUAAUUUAACCAGAAAGACUGUUUAAGGCAUUUCCUUUGGCCUCUUUUCUUCCACCAGAAAGUGAAAAUAACACAGUUUUUUUUUUUUUAAUCCGAGCAUCCGAAAAGGACGGUCUUCCCAACUUGUUUCCAUGAAGAAGUGAAGAGAAAACAAAAAGCUGCUAAGAACCUAGGCUAUUAGUUCCACAGACCGGGAAACAGCUCCACGUGGGCAUUUUUCAUGUUGUGAUAGGGCAGGACUGCCUGUGCAGCUGCUAAGACACCCGGCUGCACUAGGGGGUGAUGAUGCGCACUGUGCUGCACUGCAAGAAGCCACCAGCCACGCACAACAUCACACAAACCACCCGAUGGGCCAUAAACACUUCUCAGGGAAAAACUGCACACAUCCCAGUGCUGUGGGCGCACGCACCAUCGGUUCUUCCCAGGCUAGCCUAGAGACUUGCUGCUCUGUGACCGGUAAGGGAUCACGUAGCACUGAACAAAAUCAACAAGCACUUGGGGCUGACAGCUACCGCAAACCGUAAGAACACCAUGCAAGACUAACACACCACAAGGCCAUACAGGUAUGACUGAUGUCUAACUUGUGUGCAUAUUGAUGAUCACAUGCAUAUUCAUGACCAAGAGUUGCCUCUGGCUCAAUAUUUGCCUUUUCACAAGACUCAGUUCUCUUAAUAUGAUAACGGUCUAGGCCUACUGCAGGUACAUCAGAAGAGAGCUUGCUCACUACGGAGCCUGAGUCAAGUAAUCUGAGAGAUUAGAUUGACCCGACAGAUUUCUAGAAGCAGAACACAACUACAGCAACCAAGUUCAGCAACAACACUGCUACUACCUUCGGCUCUCCAUUUUUUUUUUAUUUUUUUUUGGAACAGAAAAGGUUUAACCUUGGACUUAAGUCAUGCCAGAAGAGCAGAGUUUUUUUCAGUCCAAGGCAGAAAGGUGGAGAGAAACAGCCUCACUUCUCUAGAAAGACUUACUACACUUCCAUUCCAUCUCAAAAUGAAGGUAACUGGCAAGUUCAACGAGCCCUCAAAAAAAGAGCAUAAUCCUCAGCAUUAGAUACAGAUCGGAAGAGCGUCGUGCAG